rnacentral:rRNA from 1 species
UACGGGGGGAGCAAGCGUUGUUCGGAUUUACUGGGCGUAAAGGGCGCGUAGGCGGCGUGACAAGUCACUUGUGAAAUCUCCGGGCUUAACUCGGAACGGUCAAGUGAUACUGUCGGGCUAGAGUGCAGAAGGGGCAACUGGAAUUCUCGGUGUAGCGGUGAAAUGCGUAGAUAUCGAGAGGAACACCUGCGGCGAAGGCGGGUUGCUGGGCUGACACUGACGCUGAGGCGCGAAAGCCAGGGGAGCGAACGGG